rnacentral:rRNA from 1 species
UGAGGAAUAUUGGUCAAUGGGCGGAAGCCUGAACCAGCCAAGUAGCGUGCAGGAUGACGGCCCUAUGGGUUGUAAACUGCUUUUGAAGGGGAGUAAAGUGAGUGACUUGUCAUUCAUUGCAAGUACCGCAAGAAUAAGGACCGGCUAAUUCCGUGCCAGCAGCCGCGGUAGUACGGAAGGUCCGGGCGUUAUCCGGAUUUAUUGGGUUUAAAGGGAGCGUAGGCUGCCCGGCAAGCGUGCUGUGAAAUACAGUGGCCCAACCACUGGACUGCAGCGCGAACUGUCGGGCUUGAGGGCGCACGACGCAGGCGGAAUUUGUGGUGUAGCGGUGAAAUGCUUAGAUAUCACGAAGAACCCCGAUUGCGAAGGCAGCUUGCGGGAGCGCGACUGACGCUGAAGCUCGAAAGUGCGGGUAUCAAACAGGAUUAGAUACCCUGGUAGUCCGCACGGUAAACGAUGGAUGCCCGUUCUGCGGCCUUCGGGCCGCGGGACCAAGCGAAAGCAUUAAGCAUCCCACCUGGGGAGUACGCCGGCAACGGUG